GAUAGAUAGAUAGAUAGAUGAUGGGUGGAUGAUAGAUAGAUAGAUAGAUAGAUAGAUGAUGGGUGGAUAGAUAGAUGAUGGGUGAAUGGAUAGAUAGAUAGAUAGAUAGAUAGAUAGAUAGAUAAUACAAAUAGCCAAAAAAAGUGUAAUCAUUACCUCAAGACCCAAAGGAAUCCUCUGGGGAAAAGAUUUGUGUCUGGUUGUAUACAGUCCAUAAGACAGAGAUGUGGCUUUUCAUUGUUUUUAUGUGCAUAUGGCUUAAGAUAACACAAGUAGGUGCUGGCUUAACAGAAACUACCCACAGCAACGUUCUGAUGUGGUUGAGCUGAGCUACAUUCCCCAGAAUUCCAUGUUCUGUAGGUUUCUGCUCAGCUCUGGGAUCUUCAUGGCAGAUCUGAAAAAGCAGGGUACAAGCAUUGGUCGUUUUCUACUGUACUUUGUCACUGAUUUGACGCAUAGCCAAGCCUGAAGUGUUCCCUCUUCCCUGAGUCCUGAUUCAGCUUCUCUCACUCAUAGGCUGAGUAUGGACAAACAACUCCAGGAUGACAGUCCCUGGCUCCUACAUAACACCUGCGUAACUGCCAGGAUCUCAAGUCUAAACUAUCCUCUGCUCUUCAGCUCAAUCUGCACUCCUGUCUCACAUCCAUCUUCCAGCCAUAAGCACCUCUAGCAUCCAGGAAUCCAACAUUUGUCAAAAAGGACCAGCUAUAGAUCGGUGGGAUCCCUCUGUGGUUUUGCUUCUCUCUGUGAACUCUGAUUUCUAUACCAUGGUAGUAGACAAUGGAUAUACAGAGUCUCCGAGGGUUUCAUACUACAGUGGAAGGAAAGGAGACCCAAACUAUUGAAAUAGAAGGGAAACAGGAUGGAAAGAAGAAAAUAAACAAUAUGCUUGGGGAGUGCGUAGGAGUCACGAAGGCGUUAUGGACAACCAAUAUAAUCUUGGCUCUACCAGGUAUGUGACCUUGGCUAUAUCACCAGUGGCACCUUACUUUCUUUCACUUGGCCCACAAGGUAUGUAAACACAAGAGGAAAACAUGACAUCUUUUCCCUUUGUUUCUUGUCUGUCUUUUUUACUUUGGCUGAAAGGACAAAGAUGCCACUGUCCUUAACCUUUCCUCUUGAGUCACCUUAGUUUACUGGCACAAAUCUCACAGGACAGCUCCUGGCCCAGAUGAGGAAAAUUAUCCAUGAUGGUGAAGCCAUACCUUGUAAUUAUCUAAGAACCAAGUGAUACCCCCAAGUGAUGACAAUGCUGAAGAGAUCUUUGGAUCAUCUUACAGAAUCAGCACCAUGAGAAGGAUAACCAGACCACUAUUCCACCAAGGCUGCAUUCUUCUGUGUCCACUGCCCUAGUUCUUCCUUUCCUAAAUCUAAGCUGAUGUCAGCAUCCCAAACUUGAUUUGUGAUUACUUCAGCCCUUUAUCUGUUCCUGUUCCCAGUGCAGUCACAACAAAAAAGUCUCUAUUUCCCCAUUAUUUGACCCUUAUUUGACAGAUAGCUGGACCUAGCCUGUUGGGGCUGCUAGGAAUGAGAGGUGUUGCCCUAAAGGCUCUGGUAACAAUACUGAUAGAUGUGAUGUUUCUAUUGGAACUUGCAGGAACACAGAUAAGUGUAGCACUUUCUCAUCUCACCUGGAAGAAGUUCGGGUGCACUGGUAGGACAGGGUUAGAGAAGGUGUUUCUGUUAGCUACCCAGCAAAGCAGAAUCUUCAGGGGGAAAUGCCUGUGUUAAUGUACAUUCAAAGCAUCCUUUCUUUCCUUCCUGCUGGAAACUUAUGCUACUAGGUAAGCACGCCCAGGGGCACUUCUGUCCAUCACUCUAAUCUUGUAUGUAUGUGUUCUAUGGCUUUGAAUACUGUUUACAUUGGAAAUUAUGACCUUAAACUGAGCAUGCUCAGGGAUUUACGACAAAACUGAGCAAGCUCAAGAAUCAGCCAACCCCUAUCCGAGUAUUAUAUCCAUGCUCAGAAUCCUCAUGUUUCACUUGUCCUAGUAGGACAGGGCUUGAGAAAUGUCGAUUGUGCUCUUUGCUUGCUCAGGUAACAAAUCUUCUCACACCUUUUUUAUGUCUUGGCAGUAUGUAUUUCAGAUCGGCACUCAAGAUCUGAAGCCACUGCACUGGGUGACAAUCCUGCAAAUACGCAAAAGUAAUUUCAUGAAACUGUGGGCUCUUAGCCAUUCGCUGUAACAAACCAGCCUGGUGCUCUGCAGCCUUCAGCACUAUAAAGCCACUGAAAUUACGACCCCCACUUGGAAUGUAUCCUGUUACUUGUUCAAGACUAAAAUGUAAGCAUAUACUAUACAUUAUAUCUAUAGACCAAUUGUGCUGGGGUAACAGGGCCAUUGUUGCUGUUUGUGAAUGAUCAACUACACUCUGUAAUCUCCCACUGGCUAUUUCCAUUGUUCUUUAAUGCCCCACUGAUCUUUUGGAAAUGAAGGAAUUUCACAUAAAAUGCAUAGCUUGAUGAACUUUAAUCUUACCCAUAAUUAGAUAAUAAAAUUAGUUACAUGCAGUAAUUAAAAGGAUUGUGAUAAGAGACAAUCUGUCACUCAUUUUGAUCCUCUUCCCCAACAGAAAUUCAGCUUGGAGGAGACUAGAAAUCAAAUAAUGACCCCUUAGGACAGAACUGGCUCAAUGGGCAAAGCAUCUCACUUAAACCCCUGAGAACCUGAGUUCAGUCACUGGGACCCAUAUGGUAGAAGAAUAUCAACGUGUGUGAAAUGUCCCCUGAUAUGCACCAUGGGUUCUAUUACACGCACAUAUACACUAGGAGAAGGUUGUGGUGGUAAUAAUAUAAAUGAUUAAUUACUUUAAAAAAAAAAAGAAGAAGAAGAAGAAAGCAAUGACCCUCCUUUGGGCAGGAAGGCUCUGUUACCUGUUACAGGGAAAAGUGCUCCCAGAUAUUUCCCACAUCAGUCAGGAGUGAUACCAUUUGAGAAGCUUUGACAUAAGGCCUUCAGUUUUAAAGCUUAGGCCUUGACUUUUAAGUGAACAGGGAGUAAACUGCUUGAUUUUAAUCCAGUGAGUUUGAUUUUACAAAUUGCCUCCAGCUGGUUUAUCUAGCACACAUUAGCCAUUGCUAACUCUUUUGCAUAAUGUAGAACUUGCAGUUUUUUUUUUCCUGGAAAUUCAGAUGUGGUAUGUCUAGGAUAGGACAAGGAAACCCACAUUUGUAAACAGGAGAUGUGGGUAGUUUUGUGAUGUGGCAAGGAAUUGAUUUUGUUCAGUCUCACUUUAGAAAAACCUGACAAGAUUUAAAAAUGAGGAUUGAGACAGUGAUAAGGCAUCCAGACCAGCUCUUCCUAGGAAGAAAAAAAUGGAAGAAAAUAAUAUUACAGAAGAACUAACUCAUUAUACACAGAAGCAUCAGAGAACUAUCAAAUGCAAUGAACUCAUCGGGCACCGGGAGCUCUAUGAGGAAAAAUGCACAGAAGCGACUUUAGUGUUGGCAUAACAUUUACCUCAAAGUAUUUGCUGAACCAGAAGCUAAACCUACAAGCUGAGGAGCUGCACUUUUUAUCAGAGAGAAGCUAAAAGGAGACAUGAAGUAGGGACUGGAAGCCUUUGAGGCUAGGGUGUAGGCAGAGGUGUAGAUAUCGCUCUGCCUGUGAGGUACCAUUCAUGGUUCCCCCAAAAGGAGGGGCCCUGGGAUACACACAUAUUACUAGAAAAAUCUCCUGAAUCCUAGCAACGUUACCAAUCACACAUAUGUAAUUUCAACUGGAUAUAUAUUCCCAUCUUCCCAUACUCUGAUUUCCAAAGGCACAAGUAGAUCUCAAGGGGAGAGAUGGUACCACCUAGACCCUCAUAUUAUCUUCAAAAUUGCUCACACAGUAUCUGCUCAGAAAUAAAUAAGUUACAAAAACCAAUG
rnacentral:lncRNA from 1 species